UACGUAGGGUGCAAGCGUUGUCCGGAAUUAUUGGGCGUAAAGAGCUCGUAGGCGGUUUGUCGCGUCUGCUGUGAAAACCCGAGGCUCAACCUCGGGCCUGCAGUGGGUACGGGCAGACUAGAGUGCGGUAGGGGAGAUUGGAAUUCCUGGUGUAGCGGUGGAAUGCGCAGAUAUCAGGGGGAACACCGAUGGCGAAGGCAGAUCUCUGGGCCGUAACUGACGCUGAGGAGCGAAAGCCAGGGGAGCAAACGGG
rnacentral:rRNA from 1 species